GGCUUUUACGAGGUAUCAGCACUUUUCUUUCAUUAGAUGGAAGGAGGGAGGAAAGGACAAAACGGCAGCAGACUUUUAAACUUUAAAUAGACAGGUCUCAGUGCCUGAACUGGCUUUUCCAUUUUAUUUCAUCCUCCAAAGAGUUCAAUCAUUUGCUUGGGCUGCAUCACUCCUUAUAAGCAAAAGAGUAAGUUUUAAUGAAA
rnacentral:other from 1 species